rnacentral:lncRNA from 1 species
AACCAGUGAGCAAUCUCUCCAACCCUGAAUCCACUUUCUCCUCAUUAUGGUUCAAGGGAAUUUGAACUGAAGUAAAGCUGCAAGACAGAAAUAAUAAUAGCAUCUACUCUACAGCCCUGUUGAGAGAGUAAAAUGGUCUGAUUUACAUCAGUUGCUUAAAAAUCAUGCAGUUUCUGCACAGCAUUAAAGUUCUUCCUUGGAAAUGCUGGCUCUCUGUAUUAGAAGGACUCGAUGGCUUAAGGAAGUCAUGCAGCUCUGGGAUCACAUACAUAGUGAAGAUGGGUCUCUCUUAGAUGCAAGUGGAGUAAUGAAGUCCUUGACAUUUGGUGAUGGACUUACUAUGAUGCCUUCAAGAUUCUCCCAUGUUCUAGCAAUGUGAAAGAACCAUCUUUUUAAGUUGAGUAAUACUCCACUAUCUUCUCAACAUCGUGCUCAUCCAUCUGCUGAUGGAGAAACCUUGCUCCUAUCUUAGCUAUGGGGAAUAAUGCUCUUCUAUGCACAGAUGUGCAAAUAUCCCUAGCUUUUGAUUCUUUUCAAUGUAAUAACCAGAAGCAUGAUUGCUAGAUCAUAUCAUACCUACCAACAGUAUACAAAGUUUAAAUUCUUCCCUUCCCUCAUUAACACUAAGACUUUAUAUUUUGUGUAUGUAGGCUUUUUGUUGUUUUGUUUUAGUAAAACAUAAGGGUUAUGAGGGUCCAUUUCAUGGUGGUUUUCCGAUUAAUGAUAUUUUUAGCAAUUUCUUCCUUAUGCUUUCUGGAGGAAUAAUUUCAAAAGUCACAGGAAUAAAAAGUCUAUGGAUGAUAUUUAAUACAUGGCUCUGGGGCAAAUGGGUAAUUAUAAAUCCAUUUUCAGGAUAAAGGAGUUUUUGUUUAGCUUGUGAACACUUAAUAUUUACUAUUUUGGGGACAGCAAGAUUGCUCCCCAGGUGAAGGGACAGUUGAUCAGUUUUCAGAUAUCUCUUCUGUCUCACAAUUCUUAUUGGUUCUUUAUUUGAUUUAGUUGGUGCUUAGAAUUUCGUUGUUUUGUUUUGGGUGAUUCAGUACUGCGCCAUAGUUUGCAGAGUUUUAGGGAAAGGCGACAAUGCCUCAUAUUUCUCUUGUAUAUUGUAGAAAUAAAGGCCAUAGCUGCCAACACU